rnacentral:tRNA from 1 species
GUUAAUGUAGCUUAAUAUCAAAGCAAAGCACUGAAAAUGCUUAGAUGGAUGUUUUAUCCCAUAAACA